CGGGAGGCAGCAGUGGGGAAUAUUGCACAAUGGGCGAAAGCCUGAUGCAGCAACGCCGCGUGAGGGAUGACGGCCUUCGGGUUGUAAACCUCUUUUAGUAGGGAAGAAGCGAAAGUGACGGUACCUGCAGAAAAAGCACCGGCUAACUACGUGCCAGCAGCCGCGGUAAUACGUAGGGUGCAAGCGUUGUCCGGAAUUAUUGGGCGUAAAGAGCUCGUAGGCGGUUUGUCGCGUCUGCUGUGAAAUCCCGAGGCUCAACCUCGGGUCUGCAGUGGGUACGGGCAGACUAGAGUGCGGUAGGGGAGAUUGGAAUUCCUGGUGUAGCGGUGGAAUGCGCAGAUAUCAGGAGGAACACCGAUGGCGAAGGCAGAUCUCUGGGCCGUAACUGACGCUGAGGAGCGAAAGCAUGGGGAGCGAACAGGAUUAGAUACCCUGGUAGUCCAUGCCGUAAACGUUGGGAACUAGAUGUGGGGACCAUUCCACGGUCUCCGUGUCGCAGCUAACGCAUUAAGUUCCCCGCCUGGGGAGUACGGCCGCAAGGCUAAAACUCAAAGGAAUUGACGGGGGCCCGCACAAGCGGCGGAGCAUGCGGAUUAAUUCGAUGCAACGCGAAGAACCUUACCAAGGCUUGACAUAUACCGGAAACAUGCAGAAAUGUGUGCCCCGCAAGGUCGGUAUACAGGUGGUGCAUGGUUGUCGUCAGCUCGUGUCGUGAGAUGUUGGGUUAAGUCCCGCAACGAGCGCAACCCUCGUUCUAUGUUGCCAGCACGUAAUGGUGGGAACUCAUAGGAGACUGCCGGGGUCAACUCGGAGGAAGGUGGGGAUGACGUCAAAUCAUCAUGCCCCUUAUGUCUUGGGCUUCACGCAUGCUACAAUGGCCGGUACAAAGGGCUGCGAUACCGUAAGGUGGAGCGAAUCCCAAAAAGCCGGUCUCAGUUCGGAUUGAGGUCUGCAACUCGACCUCAUGAAGUCGGAGUCGCUAGUAAUCGCAGAUCAGCAACGCUGCGGUGAAUACGUUCCCGGGCCUUGUACACACCGCCCGUCAAGUCAUGAAAGUCGGUAACACCCGAAGCCAGUGGCCUAACCGCAAGGGAGGAGCUGUCGAAGGUGGGAUCGGUGAUUAGGACUAAGUCGUAACAAGGUAGCCGUACCGGAAGGUGCGGCUGGAUCACCUCCUUU
rnacentral:rRNA from 1 species